rnacentral:rRNA from 1 species
GACGUAGGGCGCGAGCGUUGUCCGGAUUAUUGGGCGUAAAGAGCUUGUAGGCGGUUUGUCGCGUCUGCUGUGAAAUUUCGGGGCUCAACCCCGAACUUGCAGUGGGUACGGGCAGACUAGAGUGUGGUAGGGGAGACUGGAAUUCCUGGUGUAGCGGUGAAAUGCGCAGAUAUCAGGAGGAACACCGAUGGCGAAGGCAGGUCUCUGGGCCAUAACUGACGCUGAGAAGCGAAAGCAUGGGGAGCGAACAGG